rnacentral:rRNA from 1 species
GAUGAACGCUGGCGGCGUGCCUAAUACAUGCAAGUCGAACGCACUGAGAGAAGUGCUUGCACUUUUCAAUUUGAGUGGCGAACGGGUGAGUAACACGUGGGCAACCUACCUGAUAGCGGGGGAUAACGAGUGGAAACAUUCGCUAAUACCGCAUAACAAUAGAGAAGGCAUCUUCUUUAUUUAAAAGGCGCUUUCAAGCGUCACUAUCAGAUGGGCCCGCGGUGCAUUAGUUAGUCGGUGGGGUGAAGGCCUACCAAGACGAUGAUGCAUAGCCGGGUUGAGAGACUGAUCGGCCACAUUGGGACUGAGACACGGCCCAAACUCCUACGGGAGGCUGCAGUAGGGAAUCUUCCACAAUGGACGAAAGUCUGAUGGAGCAACGCCGCGUGUGUGAUGAAGGCUUUCGGGUCGUAAAGCACUGUUGUAUGGGAAGAAAUGCUAGGCUAGGAAAUGAGCUUAGUUUGACGGUACCAUACCAGAAAGGGACGGCUAAAUACGUGCCAGCCGCCGCCGUAA